GGGCUCCAAGCGUCAGGCGCGCUUCUAAAAAACGCAGGAAAAGACGCACUGGGGCCGGGGGCUUAGCUUCCCUGGGCCCUGUUAGCCCAGCCUGGUAAGAAGAGGACUGUGUCUGCCCCUUUAAGGCUGACUCCUGUUCUCCUUGGAGGGAAAUAACGUGGUCACACACACAUUUGGGACUUACCCUUUUGAACUUCCCCUUCUUUCCUUAACAGUGCAUACAGGUACCAAGUGUCCUCUACGUAAGUCGCGUGUUCAUAACAGAUGCUUCAUUGGUGCUGGAGUGGGAGGGGGAAACGUCGGUCUAGAAGACAUGGUGUUCCAAACCAAAACCAGUUUCACGUUUGUUCUGCUGUAUUUUUAAGCUUAGGCUUGUGCGAUUCAAGGGCUGACCCGAUACUUCUAAUAGAAGGAGUCCAGUAAGAAGACAGGAUGUUAGAGACCCUGGGAUCCCGAGGGCACGAUCCGGAGAUGAUUAACACCCGCUGGAAGUCUGUACCGAGUUCACACAAGUGGCCUGACAGGUAUUUUAGCCUGCCCUGUGUUUUGAUAUUUUAAUUGAUCGCUUGCAUUUACAAGUGGGAGUUUAUGUGUAAAUAUCUGGGUUAUUAUCUUGGGAAGAUCUGGCAGUGUGUUCUUCCCUGACCAGUUUGCUGGCCUCUUUGGACUAUUGAGAAACCAUCUCCAGUUCGCUACAGUCUUUCUGUUACAACCAUUGGCAUCACUCAUCACGAGUCUGGACCCUAGUAAGGGUUUGAGUUUGGGGCCCCUCCUCUAAAUAUUGGAGUGGAUGGAUAUAUGACUAUUUAAAACAUUUAUGUAGAACAGAUCAGAGGUCCCAAGUAACUGGGUGUAUAGUUCGUGUUUAAACUGCUGUUCCUUACUCUCGCUUAUUCUCAUUCAAGGUGUUUUUCUGUUGGAACAAGCGUUUUUGGCCCAGGCUUGGGAAAGAUGAGUCAUCAGAGAUAUUUACAGAAAGAUAUUUGGGAGUUGAUAUUCUUUUGUGACAAUUAAAUCCACAAAGUUUUCUUUUAAGGAAAACAUCUGAAUCUUGAUUACAUUGAUGUUUUAUGCUACAACAAUUUUUAUUGAAAUAGAGUGUACUCAGUAUGAUUUAUAUGUCUUUGUCCACAGGCAGUUAUAGUUUGUUAACCUCCACAACUCUUGGCAAGGCUUCAUAAAAGCAAGACCAGUGUUUGCCCUGGUAGUAACUCUGCCUCACCCACUAGAAUCUAAGCUUCCUGAAGCCGCAGACUUUUAUUUUGUUCAGGGUGCGUGCUUAAAGGUAAGUGAUUUAUUCAAUGUGUGAAAGCACUUUAAAGGUAAACCUUACUUUAUGUAACAGGCAUGUUCCCAAGGAUUUCUCUCAGAUUCAAGUGCGUGUAUAUUUGUUGUUCUAAAUUAUUAAAAGGCUUUUGUUGUGAAAAGCCUUCCUUUUUGAAAGGUUGUAGUUUCCUAAAUUGAUGCGCCAACACUUCCAUCUGAAAUGGACUUGCACUUGUGAAUCAUCUGCUACAGAGCUUACACUGUAAUAUUUUCUCACUGUGUAAUGGGAUUUGGACGUGUCAGUGAGCCUUGGAAUUUUCAGCUUUAUUUCUGUUUUUAGAGACGCACAGAUUUCCAGUUGAGAUCAGUGUGGCAGCCAGACCCUUCCUUCC
rnacentral:lncRNA from 1 species